UACGUAGGGACCGAGCGUUGUCCGGAAUUAUUGGGCGUAAAGAGCUCGUAGGCGGUCUGUCGCGUCGGCUGUGAAAACCCGGAGCUCAACUCCGGGCCUGCAGUCGAUACGGGCAGACUGGAGUUCGGCAGGGGAGACUGGAAUUCCUGGUGUAGCGGUGAAAUGCGCAGAUAUCAGGAGGAACACCGGUGGCGAAGGCGGUUCUCUGGGCAUGUCCUGACGCUGAGGAGCGAAAGUGUGGGGAGCGAACAGG
rnacentral:rRNA from 1 species